rnacentral:rRNA from 1 species
UAUCUAAACGGAGAAAUUCAAUACUAAACUUAACAUUUAGUGUGCACUUUUCUCUUAGUAAGACGCCGUGAUCCAUUAGAAAUAGGUAAAUGCCAAUUUAUAUGAGGUCAUCAAUGGGCUUACAUGAAGUUUAUUGGAACAAAUGAUGUGAUCUUUCAACGGUUAUGUGUAUUGUCUGGUAAGCAUGUGAGUACUCGUGUAAUGACUGUCUGAUGGAUUUUAAAGAUUAUAUCAUUGAUGUCAAGGCAUCACUUGCAUUUGCAAGAUUUCGAUAUAUAUCUGAUCAACGGUGGUUAAAUUUGGGAUACCUUUUGGACCCGUCUUGAAACACGGACCAAGGAGUCUAUCUAAUGUGCGAGUAAAUGAGUAUUUAUGAAACUUAUUUGCGUAAUAAACGUAACUAUUUAUUAUGGGAUUACAAGUUAAUGUUAAAAGUUAAUUUUUCCAUCCCGGAGUACUUUUAUCAACAUAUAUGCAAAUAUAUGGAAAGUAUAUCAUGAGCAUAUUGGAUACGACCCGAAAGAUGGUGAACUAUGCCUGAUCAGGUCGAAGUCAGGGGAAACCCUGAUGGAGGACCGAAGCAGUUCUGACGUGCAAAUCGAUUNUCAGA